CGGCGGCGGCGGCGAUGGAGGUGGGCGACCUGCACAAGGUAUGGGAGAUCCGCGCCCUCAAGAGGAAGCCCGACGAGCCCUCCGCCCGCGCCAUCCUCGACCGCAUCGCCAACCAGGUCCAGCCCAUCAUGCGCCGCCGCAAGUGGCGCGUCAAGGUCCUCUCCGAGUUCUCGCCGAAGAACCCCAGGCUGCUGGGGCUCAACGUCAACAGGGGCGUCGAGGUGAAGCUGCGGCUGCGGCCCCACGGCCGGGACCACAACUUCAUACCCUACGAGAGGGUGCUCGACACCAUGCUCCACGAGCUCGCCCACAUCGCGCGCGGUCCUCACGAUGCCCAAUUUUACAAGCUAUGGGACGAACUCCGCAAGGAAUGCGAAGAACUUGUUUCAAAGGGUAUCACUGGGCCAGGACAAGGGUUUGAUGGUGCAGGCCGGCGAUUAGGUGGGUUUUCAAUACAUCCACCUCCACCGUCUCUCCGGCAAGCUACACUAAGCGCAGCACAGAAACGGGCAAGGAAUGGAGCUCUAUUGCCAUCUGGUCCAAGAAAGCUGGGUGGAAAUAAUGAUAUCAUGAGUGCGUUGAGUCCAGUACAAGCUGCUGCUAUGGCUGCUGAAAGGAGAAUGCAAGAUGACUUGUGGUGUGGAUCGCAUGACCAAUCUGGCAUUGAUGAUUCAGAAGAUGUUGCUAUUCUUGAGCAAGCACCUAACCUCACAGCAAGGGAUAGAAAACACACGAAAGCCGGAAAAAACACAAAGGUUGUGUUUUCGAGCAGUUCUGCAGAGUGCAGCACUUCAUCUGGACCUCAAGUUGCAGCACCAGGGGAUUCCUCUUCUUGUAGGCCUACUGAUGCGGCCAUCAGUUCUCUGUGGGAGUGUAGUGCUUGCACUCUUCUAAAUCAGCCUCUGGCACCAAUAUGUGAAGUUUGUGGGACAGCGAAACCUAAAAUUGCAAAAGCCAAGUACACAACUUGGUCCUGUAAAUUCUGUACUCUAGAGAACAGCGUUGAGCUUGAGAAAUGUUUGGCAUGUGAUCAAUGGAGAUACUCAUAUGGACCACCUGUAGCCACAUAUGGUCCAAGCUAUGAUUGACAUUCAGUGAAAGCUACAAUAAUAUGGAUCACGCUUUUGCUCAGGCACCUGCUGCAAUGUCUAUAAAUUGUCUUAUUAGCAGCUGUUACUUAUGUUACCACUGCAUGUCAAGUCUACUGAGUUGCAGAAAAGAACAUCAAGCUUUAGCUUGGUACUCCAUCCAUGUAUCCAAGACCUAUUAAUGCAAGAUCAGUAUGACUUGUAAACCUGGAUGGAGGAAGUAGCCUUACUACAAUCUAGAGUAUUCUGUUUGCGUGGCUCCCAAUUUCUUUUUGGGAGCAUUGAUUCAUGGGCAGUGGGUAGUUUGUCACCAUGUAUGUUUUGGCAUCUUUCACUUGUCUAACUGGCUUUUGUGCAAGAAUGCCGCCAUAUACCUUCAGUGCAAUGCUGACCCUAGGCACACAGUUGAUGUUAUCGUUGUGGUCAUGAAAUCUAAUUUAGAUCAUGCAUAUGGUUUGCUGGUGAAUUAUGCUGGUUUUCACGAGCUUGGGAUUGACCAUUGCAAAAAAUAAUGUUUUUUAAUAAUUUUCUCCUCUUUCUGGUUGAAUAAUGUUUUGGUACAUCAUCAUAUUUGGCUUAGCUAUUAUUUAGCCUGUUAGAAGCUUAGUGAAUAAUGUUGCCUGAAUUUUCUCUUAUACCAUAAAAUAGCAGCUUUCAUUAGUGAAAGCACCAAUCCUUCUUGGAAAAUGCAGAUAUACAUUUAACCCUGUUGCCUUAGCUUGUACUGGUUCCGGAGGUGUUCCAGAAUCGAGUUUAAUUGGUGAACUUGCAGUUAGUGUUUCAUGUAGAAGUAGAACUUAUAAGGGAAAUACAUUUUUACAAAGAUAUAAGGUUGUUUAUUCACUAUGGGAAAUUGCGAUAUCAGCUUCAUUACUUUUUUUUGGGGGGUAAAGCUUCAUUACUUCAUUGAAUGCCUAGCUUGUGGUAGUCCAUUAAAUCCAUUCAGUGCCAUUGAAUGAGUCCAAAGCUCUAAAAUAUUCAACCAAAUAACUCCAUUCUCCUUCCAUGCCAUUAGGUUUCAAAUUUUCUAGCCUAUGUGCCAUCACUGUGUCCAUUUGGCCCCAAUGGUAUUUAUGUGUUGAUGCAUGGAAUACACUGGCAAAAUAGUCAUGUUGAUGCCAUAGAAGGAAGGAAUUUUAAAUCAGAUGGCAUGGAAGGAUCAGGCACUUAUUUGGGGCAUAUCAUGGAACUGAUAGUUAUUAUAUUUGUUCAUUCCCCAUAAAACGAUUAUCUCUCCACUGAUGAAAUAUAGUGUAGUUACUGUAUUUUCCAUAAAACCAUGUCUGCCCAAUACGUAGUUUUUGACAAAUCUGACCCUUUGACAAAACUAAUGCUUCAUCUAACCUCUCGGCAAAACUAUUUCGAAAUCUGACCCCUAGGUUCGGCACCAUAGAGGAUGGAGCCGAAGCUGUGCAGGUCGGCUCCAAGGGUUUUUGCGCCGAACCACUUGGAGGCACUCCCUGCUGCAAAAGCGUAGUGCCGACCUGUACAAGUUCGGCUCCAACCUCUAUGGCGCCGAACUCAGGGGUCAGAUUCCGAAAUAGUUUCACCAGGGUCAGAUGAGACAUUAUUCAGUGAGUCAAAUUUGUCAAAAAUACGCCUUGGAAAUUAUAUGGAAGUUAAGGGAGUAGUCUAAACAAUGUUCAUACAUAAGCUAGUUGGACAUAUGUGAUCAAGCCGAGUGAACAGUUGGUGUCAUUCACCUGUUCUAAGUUUCACACAGGGAUCUUCUCCCCCUACAUCUAAAUGGCAAGGUACUGCUGGUGGGAGGCAAAAUCCUGAAAGGCGAACUCGAGAGUCAAGAGCAGUCCCUGCACCUGAUGCGAACGCAGAGCAGGGCUAUGGUUCCAAAGGCAACAAGAUCCACCAUUCUGGGCCUCUGACCUCAUGCCCCCCCCCCCCCCUGGUAGUGUGAAGUUUUCCGGCGAACCCAGGCGGAGAAGUCCCGAGCGAGGAGGGCCCACAGGCACGAUGGAGAAGGGCAUCACGAGUGGCGUGCGCCUUGGGGUUAAAGUAGCCUUUGUGUUAUUUUCUGGAGAGGAAAGUUGAAUGAUCCAGUAAACGUGAGUUUACUCUUCUUUGGAGAUGGCAAGUUAGCAUGGGUUUACCUGGACAGCGAUGGGUGUCUUAAAGUGCGGCUGUUUUUCAAAAAAGUUGUGGGAAAGAACUCACAGAGAAGUUGAGUCAUUUGGAUUUUAGGACAGAUGGCAUGAAAAUCCGAAGAAUGCACGCGUGUGUGUGCAUCCAGGUGCUUCUCUCUAACUUUCAGCCUACUGACUUAUUGAUCCAAUGAUCCAAUGUACGUAUGGUGUGACCACUCUACGAAAUUAAUCAGAUUGCUUCCCUGCU